rnacentral:rRNA from 1 species
UGGGGAAUAUUGGACAAUGGGCGAAAGCCUGAUCCAGCCAUGCCGCGUGUGUGAAGAAGGUCUUCGGAUUGUAAAGCACUUUAAGUUGGGAGGAAGGGCAUUAACCUAAUACGUUAGUGUUUUGACGUUACCGACAGAAUAAGCACCGGCUAACUCUGUGCCAGCAGCCGCGGUAAUACAGAGGGUGCAAGCGUUAAUCGGAAUUACUGGGCGUAGAGCGCGCGUAGGUGGUUUGUUAAGUUGGAUGUGAAAUCCCCGGGCUCAACCUGGGAACUGCAUUCAAAACUGACUGACUAGAGUAUGGUAGAGGGUGGUGGAAUUUCCUGUGUAGCGGUGAAAUGCGUAGAUAUAGGAAGGAACACCAGUGGCGAAGGCGACCACCUGGACUAAUACUGACACUGAGGUGCGAAAGCGUGGGGAGCAAACA